CCUACGGGCGGCAGCAGUGGGGAAUAUUGCACAAUGGGGGAAACCCUGAUGCAGCGACGCCGCGUGAGCGAAGAAGUAUUUCGGUAUGUAAAGCUCUAUCAGCCGGGACGAAAAUGACGGUACCUGUGCAAGAAGAUCCGGCUAAAUACGCGCCAGCAGCCGCGGCAAUACGUAAGGAGCAGGCGUUAUCCGGAUUUACUGGGCGUAAAGGGAGCGUAGGGGGUCUGCCAAGUCGGAUGUCAAAAACCCGGGGUCAAACCCGGGGCCGCAGUUGAAACUGGCAGGCUGGAGUGGCGGAGAGGCAGGCGGAAUUCCUGGUGUAGCGGUGAAAUGCGUAGAUAUCAGGCAGAACUCCAGUGGCGAAGGCAGCCUGCUGGA
rnacentral:rRNA from 1 species